CUAUAAUGUAAAUAAUGUAAAUGGAGACCACAGCAGCGAUUCUGCUCUUGCCCUACCUCUUCAAUGAGGACCCGAGUGGCCUUUAUGUCCGUGACAAGAUUUCACCGCUCUUCACUCCUUUACUGCACAUCGGUGGAAAUCCAUUUCACCAUGAGAGUGAAAUCCCGCUGGCCUUUGAUGGGGAGAACAUCCACGCCCUCGAGGACGUCCCCAUGGGACUUGGAGCUCUGCUACGGCUGGAUUUUUUAUUUUCCCUUAAAUUUCCCAAAAAUGACUCUCCACAGCUACGAAGCAUCUCUCCAAACAUACUCACAACGGAACCAAAAAAUAUACGUUUGUUUCCCGGACAAUGACCAUGGGAUCCUCAACGGUUCUCUAACCUCCCAGAGACCACGGCAAAAUCAAGCCUCACAGGAACUAUAGACCUUCCGCUGCUUUCUAAAAUAUCAUCCCCCUCUCAAUACCACCCCGUGAUCUUCUAUGAUGGGCAGUGAAGGAACGGAACCCCA
rnacentral:lncRNA from 1 species